GAUGAAGAACGCAGCGAAAUGCGAUAAGUAGUGUGAAUUGCAGAAUUCAGUGAUUCAUCGAAUCUUUGAACGCACAUUGCGCCCCUUGGUAUCCCGAGGGGCAUGCCUGUUCGAGCGUCAUUUCACCACUCAAGCCUGGCUUGGUGUUGGGCGACGUCCCCUUUGGGGACGCGCCUCGAAACGCUCGGCGGCGUGGCACCGGCUUUAAGCGUAGCAGAAUCUUUCGCUUUGGAAGUCGGGGCCCCGUCUGCCGGAAGACCUACUCGCAAGGUUGACCUCGGAUCAGGCAGGGAUACCCGCUGAACUUAAGCAUAUCAAUAAGCGGAGGA
rnacentral:misc_RNA from 1 species